ACGCUGGCGGCGUGCUUAACACAUGCAAGUCGAACGGAAAGGCCCUGCUUUUGUGGGGUGCUCGAGUGGCGAACGGGUGAGUAACACGUGAGUAACCUGCCCUUGACUUUGGGAUAACUUCAGGAAACUGGGGCUAAUACCGGAUAGGAGCUCCUGCUGCAUGGUGGGGGUUGGAAAGUUUCGGCGGUUGGGGAUGGACUCGCGGCUUAUCAGCUUGUUGGUGGGGUAGUGGCUUACCAAGGCUUUGACGGGUAGCCGGCCUGAGAGGGUGACCGGCCACAUUGGGACUGAGAUACGGCCCAGACUCCUACGGGAGGCAGCAGUGGGGAAUAUUGCACAAUGGGCGGAAGCCUGAUGCAGCAACGCCGCGUGCGGGAUGACGGCCUUCGGGUUGUAAACCGCUUUCGCCUGUGACGAAGCGUGAGUGACGGUAAUGGGUAAAGAAGCACCGGCUAACUACGUGCCAGCAGCCGCGGUGAUACGUAGGGUGCGAGCGUUGUCCGGAUUUAUUGGGCGUAAAGGGCUCGUAGGUGGUUGAUCGCGUCGGAAGUGUAAUCUUGGGGCUUAACCCUGAGCGUGCUUUCGAUACGGGUUGACUUGAGGAAGGUAGGGGAGAAUGGAAUUCCUGGUGGAGCGGUGGAAUGCGCAGAUAUCAGGAGGAACACCAGUGGCGAAGGCGGUUCUCUGGGCCUUUCCUGACGCUGAGGAACGAAAGCGUGGGGAGCGAACAGGCUUAGAUACCCUGGUAGUCCGCGCUGUAAACGGUGGGUACUAGGUGUGGGGUCCAUUCCACGGGUUCCGUGCCGUAGCUAACGCUUUAAGUACCCCGCCUGGGGAGUACGGCCGCAAGGCUAAAACUCAAAGGAAUUGACGGGGCCCCGCACAAGCGGCGGAGCAUGCGGAUUAAUUCGAUGCAACGCGUAGAACCUUACCUGGGUUUGACAUGGAUCGGGAGUGCUCAGAGAUGGGUGUGCCUCUUUUGGGGUCGGUUCACAGGUGGUGCAUGCCUGUCGUCAGCUCGUGUCGUGAGAUGUUGGGUUAAGUCCCGCAACGAGCGCAACCCUUGUUCACUGUUGCCAGCACGUUAUGGUGGGGACUCAGUGGAGACCGCCGGGGUCAACUCGGAGGAAGGUGGGGAUGACGUCAAGUCCUCAUGCCCCUUAUGUCCAGGGCUUCACGCAUGCUACAAUGGCUGGUACAGAGAGUGGCGAGCCUGUGAGGGUGAGCGAAUCUCGGAAAGCCGGUCUCAGUUCGGAUUGGGGUCUGCAACUCGACCUCAUGAAGUCGGAGUCGCUAGUAAUCGCAGAUCAGCAACGCUGCGGUGAAUACGUUCCCGGG
rnacentral:rRNA from 1 species